GUGCUCGCUUCAGCAGCACAAACACUAAAAUUGGAACGAUACAGAGAAGAUUAGCAUGGCCCCUGUGCAAGGAUGACAUGCAAUUUCGUGAAGCGUUCCAUAUUUUU
ensembl:snRNA U6 U6 spliceosomal RNA